GCUGGGCGUGGUGGUGUGCACCUGUAGUCCCAACUACUUGGGAGGUUGAGGCAGGAGAAUCGCUUGAACCCAGGAGGCACAGGUUGCGGUGAGCUAAGAUGAUGCCACUGCACUCCAGCCUGGCAACAGAGUGAGAAAGAAAAAAAAGAGACACAGAGUCUGGUUCUGUUGCCCACGCUGGAGUGCAAUGGAGCAAUCUCAGCUUACUGCAACCUCUGCCUCCCGGGUUCAAGUGAUUCUCCUGCCUCA
rnacentral:sRNA from 1 species